AUUUUCUUAUUAUAAUAAGUAUAUUAAGCUUCCAACUUAAAGGUUUAAAAUUUAAAGAAAGUA
rnacentral:tRNA from 1 species